CUUGGAUUGAUUGACUCUGCGUUCCUUAACCAGAAGAUAAACGGAUCUGAGUGUCAGAGGAUAACUUACAUGUGAAUAUAAUGCUAAAGUUUCUCUCCAAGUCUGAAUUUGCCUAAAAGUUUAUCCUAACAAAACUUGGAAUUCUCUUAUUAAGGGUAGAAAUCAAUUCCAUUAAUUUGUUUAUCUUUUCCAUUUUAGAAAGAAUGAUAUUUGAAUACAAGAUAUAGGCCAGGUACUACUGGCUAAGAAAGAAAUGCAAUAGUGCUUGCUCCCUCAUCCCCUUGGGACAGGGGAGAGGACAAAAGUUCCCAGUAGUCAGCAAAAUCCCAACAUUCUCCCUCUCUUAAACCAUUCUUCCCAACUCUGUGGCCUUACAAGUAUGAAAGCAGUGCCACUAACUGGAAUCUUAGAAAAGUUGAGGUUUUAUACCUGGAUGUUGAAAGCCCAUGAUCUAGUCAAGAACAAAUGAGGGAAGUCUAAUGUCAGGGAAAUCUUCUCCAACAACUUUUUGAAGUGCUCCUGUGUGACUUGAAGUCUUCAUUUUGAACAGACUAAACUGGUAUUUACUUAAACUAUAUAUCAAAUGUCCUAUAAAUUUGGCCUUAUUUCAUGGAACCAAUUAUUACCUUAAAUAAUCCCUAUAACCUCUGAAGGAAAAGUACCCCAUCCAAAUGCUCUAGUAAUUCUGAAACAUCUAGAUGCAUUGUUAACUAUUUUGAAAUUGUGUAACAUGCAAAAGUUGCAAAGGUGGUUACUGAGAGUUCCUGAGUACCCAUCACACAGCUUCACCCGUGAUAAUAUAUAGAUAU
rnacentral:lncRNA from 12 species